rnacentral:rRNA from 1 species
UACGGGGGGGGCAAGCGUUGUUCGGAAUUACUGGGCGUAAAGGGCGCGUAGGCGGCCUGCUAAGUCGGACGUGAAAUCCCUCGGCUCAACCGGGGAACUGCGUCCGAUACUGGUGGGCUCGAAUCCCGGAGAGGGAUGUGGAAUUCCAGGUGUGGCGGUGAAAUGCGUAGAUAUCUGGAGGAACACCGGUGGCGAAGGCGGCAUCCUGGACCGGUAUUGACGCUGAUGCGCGAAAGCCAGGGGAGCAAACGGG